rnacentral:misc_RNA from 1 species
GUAGCCUAUCUUUUGAUGGGCCUUGCUUUCAUAUAUGGGUAACAUGACUAAAUGAUGAUUGAAAAUUUUAAAAAUUUUACCAUGGCGCCGCGGAAACGUUAUGCAACUAACAGCUGGUUGUUCUCUGCAUUUGCUAUCACUUACCUUUUCCUGGCUAGGAGCUAACCAUGCGUCCCUCGGUGAUGUGUAAGCUUUGGGUUGGAUUGAUUUUUAACGCAACGAUAUUUUUGUUUAGGGUAAAGAACAAAAAAUGUAUAUUAUGUGGUUUGGUAUUUGUAUAGUUAGGGAUAUUUUUUAACAAAUUAGUGCUCUAAAAAUAAUGCCCCUUUCAAGAAAUGGACAACUGAAAGUGAGUUUUAUUGGAA